GACGAACGCUGGCGGCGUGCUUAACACAUGCAAGUCGAACGGAAAGGCCCUGCUUUUGUGGGGUGCUCGAGUGGCGAACGGGUGAGUAACACGUGAGUAACCUGCCCUUGACUUUGGGAUAACUUCAGGAAACUGGGGCUAAUACCGGAUAGGAGCUCCUGCUGCAUGGUGGGGGUUGGAAAGUUUCGGCGGUUGGGGAUGGACUCGCGGCUUAUCAGCUUGUUGGUGGGGUAGUGGCUUACCAAGGCUUUGACGGGUAGCCGGCCUGAGAGGGUGACCGGCCACAUUGGGACGGAGAUACGGCCCAGACUCCUACGGGAGGCAGCAGUGGGGAAUAUUGCACAAUGGGCGGAAGCCUGAUGCAGCAAUGCCGCGUGAGUGAUGAAGGCCUUAGGGUUGUAAAGCUCUUUUACCCGGGAUGAUAAUGACAGUACCGGGAGAAUAAACUCCGGCUAACUCCGU
rnacentral:rRNA from 1 species